AUCCAUGGCUGUGCUCGGCCUCCACCUCAAGCCGUGCCCUAGGAUCGUCUUCCAGCACCCCCUUCACACCCUUGCCUCCAGCUCGCCAGCACCCUCCGUUCGGCCGGCCAUGGCCACCUCGCCGAGGCCCCAGCCACGACGUCAUCCCCCGCUAUCGAAGUCGUGCCUCGCAUACCGCCUAUUCGAUGAAAUGCCCAAACCUGUGGACUGUCGACACCACAUCUGCUCCCUCUCCUAACACCCUGUCGCAAUUUCGUGUGUUGCCGGUACGUUAAUUGAUCACAUGCUAUGGAAGACGAGUGGAAUUGAUCUCCAAGUGAUGCUGAUGGACGAAGCUAAAAUGGAUGAAUCAACCAAGUGCCAGGAUAGAAGAUGCUCACCAAGUGGUCGUCAAUUAACAACACUAACUUAGUGUUAUCCCAGGUUGUAAUUUUGUUCUGUUGUGGAUGGUGCUAAGUGCCGGUGGGCUCGGCCUUCUUAUAUAAGUAUAUCCCAUCUUUAGCUUCUUUAUUGAGGAUUGUCACUUAAGCUAGCAUGUAAUUUUAAACUUAUAAAUAUUUUAUAGAUUUUAAAGUGAAAUUCUUUUGAAUCACUUUCUUUUGUAAUCACUCCGAUAAUUGUAUAAUGUAAACUUAUUGUAACAUGUAAUCAUUUUGUAAUAAAGAAUUUAUUUCUGCU
rnacentral:lncRNA from 7 species